UUUCAGUCUCCUCUUAUCUGAAACUAACAUGGGGUGUGUUUAACAGCUUAGGCCUACAGCUGGCUGUGGUACAGCUAUGGCAACUUUGAGAGGCACACAGCGGUUGAGAAAUGUGUGAGCCGGGGCCAGCUCAAGCUUCUUCAUGUUUUCCAACUGGGGAUCUUCUGCAGGCACGCAGGUGCAGCAGAGACUUCUUUACGCAGCUUCUACCCAAAGACCCGUGACAACAAGGUUGGAGCAGUGUACCUGAGGCCUGACUUGAGCAUGCUGCGGCUCAUUGAGACGUUUUCACAGCACCCCUCAACUUGUCCUCAUGCUCACUAUCUUUCUGCAGCGGGGCGAGCUCGACCCUGUGACAGUGGGGAAGACCAUUGGGUCAGUCUCAGCCAUGGCCUUCAGGUUGACCAUGCACUACCGCACCCCGGGCUUCCUCCUGCCUGACAAGCUGCCGCCGCAGGUGAUCACCUCAGUGUUCGCCUCUGUGCUGCCCUGCUUCAUCUUCACCCACUGGUAUAUAUUGUUAUAUAUAAAAUAAAGACAAGAUCCAUUUUGCAAUCAUCCUGAC